GUUGUCGUCAGCUCGUGUCGUGAGAUGUUGGGUUAAGUCCCGCAACGAGCGCAACCCUUAAGCUUAGUUGCCAUCAUUAAGUUGGGCACUCUAAGUUGACUGCCGGUGACAAACCGGAGGAAGGUGGGGAUGACGUCAAAUCAUCAUGCCCCUUAUGAUUUGGGCUACACACGUGCUACAAUGGACAAUACAAAGGGCAGCGAAACCGCGAGGUCAAGCAAAUCCCAUAAAGUUGUUCUCAGUUCGGAUUGUAGUCUGCAACUCGACUACAUGAAGCUGGAAUCGCUAGUAAUCGUAGAUCAGCAUGCUACGGUGAAUACGUUCCCGGGUCUUGUACACACCGC
rnacentral:rRNA from 1 species